GUCAAUUCGUGACCGAACAAGUUAACUCAAAGACUUUGGCUGUUAACUUAGAAACUCGCGGAGGUUUCCAAGAUGAGGACAAAACCAGAGAGAACAUUUCGUUUGAUAUCAUUUCUCCUCCUCCUCCUCUUCUCCAGUGUUUACGCUAAAACUGCCGCAGAGGAGGAUCGAGACUUGAUAAUCCUUUUGGCAGCUGUAGCUUUGGCUGUUCUCGCUGUGGCUUUGAUUAUUCUUGUGGUCAGUUGCUGUUGUUUCUGGAAAAUGUUAAAGAAGAGAGAGCGUGGCUAUUAGUAGCCAUAGAAAUAACAAAUCGGAACUCUACUGCCUCAAAAACUUUUUGCUUGUGUCUACCAUAGAUUAUUAUACGUGCUGAUAUUGUAAAGUAUCUGCUCAAUACGAAAGAUUGUAUAAUACAACUUAUUUUACUACAAACUGUAUAUUACAAUACCAUAUAUGGCGCAACUUUUUGAUGCCAUCAUUGAAUUGGAA